UCUUCAUUUCACACACUCUCUCACCGGUCAGAGAGGCGAGAGAGUGUGCGAAAUGAAGAGA
rfam:Pristionchus pacificus strain PS312 contig5225, whole genome shotgun sequence.